GACGAACCGUCCGAACGUUAUUCGGUAUCACUGGGCUUAAAGCGUUCGUAGGCGGCCAUGAAGGUGAGGUGUGAAAGCCAACGGCUCAACCGUUGAAUUGCGCUUCAAACCACAUGGCUUGAGGAAGACAGGGGUGUUGGGAACUUAUGGUGGAGCGGUGAAAUGCGUUGAUAUCAUAGGGAACACCGGUGGCGAAGGCGCAACACUGGGUCUUUUCUGACGCUGAGGAACGAAAGCUAGGGUAGCGAACGGGAUUAGAUACCCCGGUAGUCCUAGCCGUAAACGAUGAGCACUGGGUUGAGGGGACUUCCACAUCCUCUCGGCCGUAGCGAAAGCGUUAAGUGCUCCGCCUGGGGAGUAUGGUCGCAAGGCUGAA
rnacentral:rRNA from 1 species